GACGAACGCUGGCGGCGUGCUUAACACAUGCAAGUCGAACGGGAUGAUUUAGAAGCUUGCUUUUAGAGAAUCUAGUGGCAAACGGGUGAGUAACACGUAGGCAACCUGCCGACAGGAUGGGGACAACAUUCCGAAAGGAAUGCUAAUACCGAAUGAAGCGCAGGAGAGGCAUCUCUCCUGCGUGAAAGAUGGUCUCUAUUUAUAAGCUAUCACCUGUCGAUGGGCCUGCGUCUGAUUAGCUGGUUGGUGAGGUAACGGCUCACCAAGGCGACGAUCAGUAGCCGGUCUGAGGGGAUGGACGGCCACAUUGGGACUGGGGCACGGCCCAGACUCCUACGGGGGGCAGCAGUGGGGGAUCUUCCGCAAUGGGCGGAAACCUGACGGGGCAACGCCGCGUGAGUGAAGAAGGUCUUCGGAUCGUAAAGCUCUGUUGAUGGGGACGAACGUGCGAAGGGUGAAUAAACCUUUGUAAUGACGGUACCUGUCGAGGAAGCCACGGCUAACUACGUG
rnacentral:rRNA from 1 species